rnacentral:miRNA from 1 species
CCCCAGAUGUUGCUGAACUACAACUCCCAUGAUUCCCUGAUGAUGAUCUGUUUCAUUGAAAGACUCAUGGGAGUUGUAGUUCAGCAACAUCUGGGG